rnacentral:piRNA from 1 species
AAGGAGAUAAAAGGAGGGUUUCUUUGCUC